GACGAACGCUGGCGGCGUGCUUAACACAUGCAAGUCGAACGGUGAAGCUCCAGCUUGCUGGAGUGGAUCAGUGGCGAACGGGUGAGUAACACGUGAGCAGCCUGCCCCUGACUCUGGAAUAAGCGCUGGAAACGGCGUCUAAUACUGGAUACGAGAAGGGUCCGCAUGGGCACCUUCUGGAAAGUUUUUCGGUUGGGGAUGGACUCGCGGCCUAUCAGCUUGUUGGUGAGGUAAUGGCUCACCAAGGCGACGACGGGUAGCCGGCCUGAGAGGGCGACCGGCCACACUGGGACUGAGACACGGCCCAGACUCCUACGGGAGGCAGCAGUGGGGAAUAUUGCACAAUGGGCGAAAGCCUGAUGCAGCGACGCCGCGUGAGGGAUGACGGCCUUCGGGUUGUAAACCUCUUUCAGCAGGGAAGAAGCGAAAGUGACGGUACCUGCAGAAGAAGCACCGGCUAACUACGUG
rnacentral:rRNA from 1 species